CCUCAAGGGACACAUUCAUUUGGCCGCUCUCUCCUGGACAGUGGUAGCUCCCACCUGCAUCUAUUCAAGACAUUGUCUCAAUGGGAAAACCUCACAAUGAGAACAUUCCUUGAAACGUCGAGCCAUUAGCUGUUGUCUCCUGGUUUCUGCAUCCAUGUUUGUCCAAUGCCUGCCAUUUGAAUGUGGCAUUAUGUCAGAUCCAAGGAGAUUUGCUGUUGCGGCGAUCUGAAGACGGUAGAAAACACCGUUAUCUCAUCGUCUUAGGCUGGCUCUGUGCAUAUGUUGAAACCCACCUUUGAAGGUUUCCAGCGGCUAGCAAAGCCAGGCUCUGUGCUCGGUUUAUCUAGCGUCGCUGGGUGGAAUUCAGAGCUUGCAACCUACAGGUCCUCCGGGCAGCUCGCUGUUUUGUUUUCAUGCCCAAACAACCCAAUUAGGAUCCUCUUGUUCCUGAGUCACUGAGUUUUCUGAUCCAACUGACUCCUCGGGUGGUUUUAACAUCUAUUUAUAGAUAUCACCGAGGAUGAUGCUUGUGUACUGGUGUACGAGGAUGAUAAAGAUAAGUGGAAGACAGAUUCUUUCUCCACAUGAUUCACUGUGAUGAUUUCCCUUACAGUGGGGGCCAUGUGAGCCGGGACUUGCCUGCAAGUUACAAAGUGAGGGGGGACGGCUUCACAUUUCUGGGAGGAGGCAGUCUCUUGCAGUCAGAGCUGACUUGGGAGUAUUACAUUCCCUCUCUCUCCAUCUAAGGAAGCAAACAACGGGUCUGGGGGUUAAAAGGCUCAGGAGGAUAAGUGGCAGACCCUGAGUGACAUCAUUUCCCAUGUUCCUCAGGGAAUGAACAUUGUCACCUUCAUGUCACUUCUUCUGGGGUUGGGGAAAAAAAAAACUGAGAAAGAAUUCGGACUCCGUUGACACAUCACAGAUGGAGAAACAGACCCAGAAGGGCUGUGUGUCUUUUCUGAGGCCACUAAACUUCUUGGCUGACAGCUGGAUGUCGUGUGGUAUGGGUGGAGAUAAAAUCAGUGUCUAUGAGUGUGGAUCUGCUGUAAUAUGCUGAAGAACUCCUCCCCGUUCCGGUUCUAGAAGUAUGGAAUCCUUUGAACCUGAUGACUAAGCCUGAACUAGUCCCCAAGGGGGAAUUCGUUGUUGGAUCCCAGUGUGCCUUAAGGGAAGCAAGAAAAUUAUUGUGGCUGCAUUGGAAAGCCCCGAAUGGAACCUUUCAGGGCUCCUCCUUAGUCUGUUAUUUCUGAUUCUCUUUGAAUAACUGCUUCCUUUUUGUGUCUUUCUUGACUUCUCUACCUUGGGCAAUCUGGUCACCUAUUCUGCAUCUGUUUUACAUGUUCAACUUCAUAAUGC